UCUGAGGAACUUUGGCGGACGAAGACGAGCUCUCGAGAACUGCUGGGGUACGGUAAAAGCAGCCAUCAACAACGCAGAGGAGACCAACGUUGGGUAUGUGGAACGGAGCCAAACUAACGAUUUGUUCGACGAUAGAUAUAGAGAGAUUUUGGAAGGAAAGAAAGCAGCGAGGGCGAUCAUGCUGCAGCACGGGACCCGGCAGAACGUGGAGCGAUAUAAAAGAACGCAGAAACAGAAAGAAAAAGCUCCACCUGGAAGAAGCGGAAUGUAACGAAAUGGAACUGCUGCGUCGUUCACAAGAAACACGAAAGUUCUACUAGAACCUUAACGCAUCCCGCAAAGGCUUUGUGCCGCGAGCCGAAAUGGGCAGGGAUAAGGACAGGAGAAUCUUCACUGAUGGACGUAAGCUGAUCGAAAGGAGGAAGCAGCACUACGACGAACACCUGAAUGGUACGGAGAACGCAGACAGGGAGGAUCAAGACAGCGGAAGAAAUGACUACGUCAGCAUAGCAGGGAGCAACAACGAGCCAACCAACACCAACUUUGAGGUAAGUUAAGGAAGCUAUCUAGCAGCUCAAGAACAAUAAGUCAGCUGGUGAGGAUGGUAUCGGAGCUGAACUCAUCAAGAUGGGCCCGGAAAAGUUGCCCACCUGCCUGCACCGGCCAAUAGUUCGAAUCUGGGAGAACGAACAGCUAUCGGAGGGGUGGAAAGAAAAGGUCAUUUGCCCCAUCUACAAGAAAGGCGACAAGUUGGAAUGUGAGAACUUCUGAGCAAUCACAAUUCUGAAUGUCGCCUACAAAGUGAUAUCCCAGAUCAUCGUCCAUCGUUUUCACCCAAAGUUAAUGAGUUUGAGGGAGUUAUCAAGCCGACUUCGUUGAAGACCGCUCGACAACGGACCAAAUCUUCACCAUGCGACAAAUCCUCCAAAAAUGCUGCAAAUACCAGGUCCCAUCGCACCACCUGUUCAUUGACUUCAAGGCGGCGCGGCGUACUACAGUAUCGACCACAGAGAGCUAUGGAAAAUCAUGGAUGAAAACGGCUUCUCCGGAAGGCUUAUUAGAUAGAUCGAAACGACGAUGGACGGUAUAAGAAUCUGCGUAAGGGUUUCGGGCGAUCUAUCUAGUUUGUUCGAAUCUCGCCGGGGACUACGACAAGGUGAUGGACUCUCAUGCCUACUGUUGAACAUCGCCCUGGAAGGUGUUAUGCGACGAGCCGGGCUCAACAGCCGAGGCACGAUUUUCCCGAAAUCCUGCCAAUUUGUCUGUUUUGCGGAUGACAUGGAUAUUAUUGCUACAACAUUUGGAACGGUAUCAGAACUGUAGAGUAGAGUGGGGCAAGAGUUUCUUUUGAAGUUUUUGAGCUCAAUUCAAAUUAUUUCUUUCGGGUGUCAAGGUUGUUCGAAGCCUUUUUGAAAAAGAGUCUUUCACUCCAAAAAUUAUGAAAAUUGAUCAAUAUUUCGAAAAGUUAUGACUAAAUGUUGGUUUUUGAUCAAAAAAUUGUAAUAUGCGAAGGUCCUUCCAACGCAUGGAAUGGAUAUGUAAUGAAAUAGAAUUCGAUAUUUUAUUUUGGGGCGUAACUAGGUAUAUUUUGAAGAUGCUUUAGCAUGUAUAACUUUUUGCAAAAAAGAUUUGGAAAUCAUAUUUAACACAUAGUGGGGCAAAAGUUCGAAUUGUGGGACAAAAGUUCGAGUCAUGUGGCAACUUCAGGUAAAAACCUAAAAUUGGGUAAAAUGUACAUAUUAUCUCUAAAAAUAAUGGAAUUAGUGAGAAAAUGCGAUCAAAGUUUAAAAAAUUUGUUGUUUUAUCUGAAUUUGGCGGAAAACUACUAAUUUUUGGUGUAGUAAAUUUAACCCUGAUUUGGGUUAAAUCCUGAUCGAACUUUAAAGUGUAUUCCAGUUCCAACAUCAAAUAUUAAUUGGUUUCAGGUAUUUCUAUUACCAAAGUGUCAACAUAGUGUGCUACGGUUAGCAAAAUUUCACAAACACUAGAUUCGAACUUUUGCCCCAGUGGUGGGGCAAGAGUUCGAAUAAGACGCACACAUACAAAAGGUGUUGUAACUCAAAAUUGAAAAGACAUUAGGCGUAACUCUAUUCAGCAAAAUUUUAGCUCAUUGAUGGUAGAAUCACCACACGUAUUUAUUUUUAUCUGCUUCAAUUUUUUGAGAAAAAUUGAUUUUUCAACUAAGGUCGAACUUUUGCCCCACCUUACUCUACACCCGCCUUAAACGUGAAGCAGCAAAGAUCGAACUCACGGCGAACGCGUCGAAAACGAAGUGCAUGCUAGCAGGUGGUUGAGCACUUCGUCUACCUCGGGUCCACAUUAACGGCAGACAACAACCUUAGCCGCGAAAUACGAAGACGUAUCAUCAGUGGGCUCCACAAGAAUCUGCGGUCGAAAAAGACUCAUCCUCGCACCAAGUGUACCAUGUACAAAACAUUAAUAAGCACUCGAAGUGUUUGAGCGACGGGUGCUUAGGGCCAUCUUUUGCGUUGUGCAGGAAAACAAUGUGUUGCGGCGAAGAAUGAACCACGAGCUCGCUGCACUCUACGGCGAACAUAACAUACGGAAGGUAGCAAAAGCUGGACGGAUACGAUGGGCGGGGCAUGUUGUGAGAAUGCCGGAAAACAACCUUGCAAACCUAAGUAACAUUUUGAUGACCAAUAAGUUAUUUGGAGGUUUUGGAAACCAUCAUAAAACCUAAUACCUUUUAUUUUGGUUUAUUGAUAGUCUGAAGAACCUCUUCCGGACUAUUUGACUAAAAAGUAUUGCUUGCUUGUACAAGACCUGGAGGGCAGCGUGCAGAACGAUCUGGCAAAUGUGGGACGAGGCCGAGGAUAGAGGACUGUAGCCACGAGCCGAGUGUUGUGGCGAAGAAUUGUUGAUUCAGUUUCGAACGAUAAAUUUCAAAGUACAAUAUUGAAAUCCUAAAAAAAUCCACACAUUUCGUCAAAAAUAUUCCAAAUUCCCCGGUAAAAAUAAGCCCUGAAACUUCACUACAUAUGUUCCGGGUCAUUUGACCGAAAACCAUUUGGCCGGAAGGAUCAUUUGCUCGAACGCCGUUUUAACGAAAAUGAAUGAUGAACUCAAGCGAUAAUGUCACUUUUAUCCACAUCGAGUAACUAACAAGAAGAGCCGCUUGGCCGAAUGCCAUUUGACUAAAUGUCGGAUUGUUUGGCCGAAUGCCGUUUAGUUGUACUGCUAUAGCAUACAUUAGUUUUCUUGGUAAUGUGGUCUUCGCAGGUAGUUGAAGAGCAUGCAUGACUUUCCUCCUCAGCGUCCGCUGCAUGGGAUGAGGUAAAAGUAGAUUGUUUACAUUACAUCGAAAUUUUCAACUGUCGCCUUAACCCUCUUAUACCCAAAUUUGUGAUUCUGAUCUAAAUGUAAUUUUUCGUCGCCUAAAAUCGAUUUAAACAUGUUUUGGAAGUUAAUUCUUUUUAAUUCUAGAUUUUGUGAAUUUUGGUUUUUAAUUUUUCUAAAUUUUUUGGAACAUCCCUACACUUUCAUAUUUUUCCUGCAAGCCUAUUUGGUAUACCGAUUUUUAAGAUGAAAACAUUUGAAAUUUUUAUGUUUUUUUUUAUUUCUACUUUUUUUCAUGGAAUUUUUUAUUGUCCGUGUAAUUUUUAGGAAAAUCAUUUAAGUGUGUGUUAAAUUUCCUGAAACUCUUUUACAAUAAUCGAAUGAUUAGGGAAAAAAUUAAAACACGCGAAUUGUUGCGAUUAAAUACAAAAGAUACAAUGAAAUCUGAAAGGUGACCAAAACACCAAUUUCUCAAUGAUUUUUCAAAAAUGUUGAUACGUUUUAAAAGACACCAAAAACCAUUUUGAAAUAUACAGAACAGUCCUAAAUAUCCGCUCAAAAUAUAAAAGUUUUGAUUGGCAAGAAAAAAUACAAAAAUGGGGCUAGUAAAUAGUAGGGUAUUAGAGGGUUAAAUUGACUCAUAUGUAUUUUAUUUUAGAAGUUGCUUCUUAGUAAAAAAAAUACAAAUGAAAAUUGACUUUUUCAUUGGAAACAGAUGAAGAAUGAGCCAACGAAAAUGCGGAAGAUUGUCUGAUUGAAGAUGUUACAAGAGCUCCUCAAUGUGAUAGUAUACAAUAAUUAAAAAUACCUAUGGAUCUAGAAGAUUAUUGGCUCGUUUGAUUUUCUAGAGUGUGCUUUGCUCAUGCAGAGCUGUCGAAAUUUCCUGCAAAUUGUCAAGUAGUGACAUAGUGUAUGUAUUGGAAUAUUUGAGUUUGAUAUAUGCAGAGCUUGCAGAAUAAGCAAAACUCUGAUUCAACUGAAAUUUUACAUUUAAUGAAGGUGUAUUAUAUUAGUGCAAACUAUUUUGCUGCACACACUGGUACCAACUCAACUCAACACAUGUGUGUAGGUCGACCCAAAGAAGACAUGAUAACACCAGCAACGAGAGACGAAGCGGUUGGAAAUGGCCUUUCUUCGGUAUGUGCGCAUCCCCGGCUCCUCAUUUCAAGGGAAGAAUCUAAUUUAUAUUCAUUAGGCGUAUUAAGCACAUUUUAUUGUGUGGCGCUGACUGUGUGCACCAACAGAAAGAAGAUGCUCUCUGCCAAGUGCCAAGUGCUUUAGUGCUUUUGGCCGCAGGCCACGCGGAAGCAUUCAACAAUAUUACAGCCACAGAGAACAGACAUCCAAGUCCAGUUCCGAAACUGUGUAAGGAAUUUAACGGCCAUUUGAAAUCGGCAACUCAAGUGGCAAUAGCGUGGCGCUGCAAUCGGUUAAUUUCCCAUACUAAUUUAAUUCACCACUUGAAAUGUUUCAAUUCACCACUGACUGUGGCAAUAUGGUGUUUGGUGGCGUUAGUGUUGUCAUCGUGUAUUGGUUUGCAACCUUACUCAAGUAAAGAUUCAAAUCCUUACACAACUUUCCGAAUGAAAUUUGUUCUAGCCUGGAUGUCUGUUCUCUGUGUUACAGCUACCUACACACCAUCAUCGCAUCAUCGGUCGGAACGGAACUGUACGAACUGUAAAUUCCCCGCAAAGGACUUCCUUCCAAUCGAUAAAAACAAACCCCUUCCGCCAACUAUCGAUUCUUCCGCCAUGGGUUCCAUGCAGAUGGGUACUAUGCAAAUGGCAAAUUCCGAACAAAAUGGGAAAACUUAUCUAUUAUUAUUCAUUUUUCUCCGCCGAAUUCGACGACCGAGCGACUGAAACAUAAGUAGAACCUCUUCAGCAGCCGAGCCAGCCGGGGUUCAGGGUACUCUAGAGCCCGAACCAAGAAGACACGAACGACGAGCGGUCGGUCGCAGGCACAUGUGCACCGCACAUGUGUUCCUUUUCCUUUCUGAGGUUAUGUCGCACAUAUAUGAUUUGAGUUUGUUCCUGGUUCUGUUGAGUUCAGUUCGUUUUUUUUCGGGAAGGCACUUUUUCAUCUCACUUUGCCAAUCCAAUAUCUUAUGCUGCAUGGUUCUUUCUCGUUCGUUGUCGUUAUCUUCCACAUUCCUUUCGGGACUUGAUUGUGCAGAGUAGAGGGAGUUCGGCGUGAAAUGUGCUG